ACACGCAUGACACACUGCAUAUCAAUAAGCGGAGGAAAAGAAACUAACAAGGAUUCCCCUAGUAACGGCGAGUGAAGCGGGAAGAGCUCAAAUUUGAAAUCUUAAAGGGUUUCCCUUUACGAAUUGUAGUUUAAAGAAGUGUUUUCUGUUGGAGUUUCGGUAAAAGUUCUUUGGAAUAGGACAUCAUAGAGGGUGAGAAUCCCGUAUUUGACCGUUACUUUCCAGCUGUGUGAUACACUUUCAAAGAGUCGGAUUGUUUGGGAAUGCAGUCCAAAAUGGGUGGUAAAUUUCAUCUAAAGCUAAAUAUUGGCGAGAGACCGAUAGCGAACAAGUACCGUGAGGGAAAGAUGAAAAGAACUUUGAAAAGAGAGUUAAACAGUACGUGAAAUUGUCAAAAGGGAAGCGUUUGACACCAGUGUUGUUUAGUUGAAAAUCAAUUCAAUAAUUUUUGAUUUUGAGUAGUAUUGACUUCAUCAGCUUGCUGCUUUCUUUUCCGAAAUUAUUGAAUGCACUUUUCAGUUAACAAGUCAACAUCAAUUUCUUUUGUUGUAAAAGGGUAAGAGGAAGGUGGCUUACGCUUCGGCGUAAGUGUUUAUAGCCUUUUACCUCUGCAAUCGGAGAGAUUGAGGACAGCAGCGUAGACUCCUUCGGGGGUUAGAUACACUUGUGCUAAGCUAUAGCUUUUUAUAGACAACUUGUUGACUAUAUUUAGUCUUGUGGCUUACUCGCUUAUGCUAUUUUACCUACGCUUAGGAUGUUGACUGAUAUGUAGUCGUA
rnacentral:rRNA from 1 species